GGGCGGGGGCACGGGGGGAACGCGAAGAACCUUACCAAGUCUUGACAUCCGCCUGACCGAUCCUUAACGGGAUCUUUCCUUCGGGACAGGCGAGACAGGUGGUGCAUGGUUGUCGUCAGCUCGUGUCGUGAGAUGUUGGGUUAAGUCCCGCAACGAGCGCAACCCCUAUCCUCAGUAGCCAGCAUUUAAGGUGGGCACUCUGGGGAGACUGCCAGGGAUAACCUGGAGGAAGGCGGGGAUGACGUCAAAUCAUCAUGCCCCUUAUGAUUUGGGCUACACACGUGCUACAAUGGCGUAAACAAAGGGAAGCGAGAUCGUGAGAUGGAGCAAAUCCCAAAAAUAACGUCCCAGUUCGGACUGUAGUCUGCAA
rnacentral:rRNA from 1 species